rnacentral:rRNA from 1 species
UGCCUAUAGCAUAACGUUAAUGCACUGUAUCCCAUUAGAACUCCACAGUUAAGUGCACUCGAGCUAGAGUAGUAUUGGGAUGGGUGACCACCUGGGAAGUCCUAGUGUUUUAGAUGC